rnacentral:misc_RNA from 1 species
UUUCCGUAGGUGAACCUGCGGAAGGAUCAUUAUUGGAUUUUGAAACUUCAGGCUGCUGCUGGCUCUCCUCGGAGGGCAUGUGCACGCUUGUUGUCCAUUAUUUCUCCCACUGUGCACACAUUGUAGACCUUUCAGUAGGCCUAUGUUGUUUUUCACAAUCUCUGAAUGUAAUAGAAUGGUUUUGAAUCUUGGGAAAUACAAUACAACUUUCAGCAACGGAUCUCUUGGCUCUC